GGUACGGCGAGGGAGGGAGCGCCAGCACUCGGGAAACAUAAACGGCAGCCGGAAGAAUAUCGAAUUGAAAUGUUGCUAGCGGAGAACUCCGCCGGCAGACUCGGCUGGAAAUUAUCUGAGACACCGCGGCACAAAAAUGCUUCCUUUUCACGAGGCAAAUGGUCUAAUCAAGAUGUAUGUGCAUGACAAUGCGCUCGCAGGGAGUGAAAGUCGGAGUUAUCUGCUUCAAUUACGGCACUUCCCGUGUCCCUGUCCUGGCAAAGGAUGAGAAUAAUAAAUACAAACCAGUUUAUUCUGAACCUGUAACUGACUUGAGUAACUCAGCUCCCAUUGAGCCGCACGUGAAGUAUGGAAAAAAAAAAAGUUACCAGGUAAAAUAUUGUGAGUAUUCUAGAGGAAUGAAAUAGGAAAUGAAAUAGGAAAUGAAAUAUUAAAUAUUAUAUGAAAUGCUGGCUUGCAGCCAGCGGUGUCUCAAUAUCCAACAGGACACAGGGAUGUGCCCAUGAGGGAGAAUUGAUUGUGAGCUCUUGGCAUGAGAAUGGAAAUUGGAGGAGGGUUUUGGGAAGUUCACAUCCUAGAAUCAAUCCUGGAAUCACAGACUGGUUUGGCUUGGGAACCACCUUCAGGAUCCUCCAGUUCCAACCACAUGGAGAGCGAGGGGCACCUUUGGCUGGACCCCACCUGUGGCCAGCAAAAUGAGGGCACUGUUCUCUAUCAUUUUCCAUCACUUGUGGAGAGGGCUGGAAUUCCUGCCUGAGCAGCUUCAUGAAGAAAUGAACUUUGGCUGAACACAAAUAGCACAUACAGAAGGAAACCAGAUAAAAACCAAAGCAGGCCUCAGUUUCUUUUGAGGUAAACUGAGUGAUCCCAGGUGUCAGUGCCCCAGAGACCUGCCCAGCCUUUUAUAGGACUCUUGGACAGUUUAUGGACAGCAGCUGACACCUGUAAAAUUCACCUGGAGCUAUUCAGCAGUUUGAAACACCUCGAUGCAAUUUACCCAGAACUCUUCAUGCACAAAGAAAAGGCAAAAAUUGAUUGGAGUGGCUGAGGAACUCCUCUGUCCUGUCUUUAAAAAGUGGAUAUAAAGCUGUCAGCUUUUACAGCUGCCCUCACACUGCUUCAAUCAAGCAGAGCUUUGGAGGGGAGGUUCCUUUCCCAGCCUGGAGUCCUGAUGCUCCAGGAGCCAGGUCCAGUGCAGGGAUGGGGUGUGAGGCAGCUUCUGCAGCAGCAUCUUCAUCUGCAUCACCUGCAUCUGCAUCACCUGCAUCCCUUGCCAAGGAAGGUACCGACCCCUCAGCUGUGCUGGGUUUCAGUUUUAUUAAUAAAUUCUAAUUAGAAAAAGAAU